rnacentral:rRNA from 1 species
CGCGACUCUGCUACGAAAAAGGAAUAGGACCUCGGUUCUAUUUUGUUGGUUUUCGGAACACGAGGUAAUGAUUAAGAGGGACAGACGGGGGCAUUCGUAUUGCGACGCUAGAGGUGAAAUUCUUGGACCGUCGCAAGACGAACUACUGCGAAAGCAUUUGCCAAGAAUGUUUCCAUUAAUCAAGAACGAAAGUUAGAGGUUCGAAGGCGAUCAGAUACCGCCCUAGUUCUAACCAUAAACGAUGCCAGCCAGCGAUCCGGCUGUGUUCCUCAAAUGACACGCCGGGCAGCUUCCGGGAAACCAAAGCUUUUGGGUUCCGGGGGAAGUAUGGUUGCAAAGCUGAAACUUAAAGGAAUUGACGGAAGGGCACUACCAGGAAUGGAGCCUGCGGCUUAAUUUGACUCAACACGGGGAAGCUUACCUGGAUAGGACACAGGAAGGAUUGACAGAUUAAGAGCUCUUUCUUGAUUCUGUGGAAGGUGGUGCAUGGCCAUUCUUAGUUGGUGGAGCGAUUUGUCUGGUUAAUUCCGAUAACGAUCGAGACUCUAGCCUACUAAAUAGACGUUCCGAUCCUUGCUGUCGGACGCUCUUCUUAGAGGGACACGCGGCGUUUAGCCGCACGAGACAGAGCAAUAGUAGGUCUGUGAUGCCCUUAGAUGUCCAGGGCCGCACGCGCGCUACAAUGAAGGAAUCAGCGUGUGCUUUCCCUGUCCGACAGGACUGGGUAACCCGUUGAACCUCCUUCGUGCUUGGGAUAGGCGUUUGUAAUUAUCCGCCUUGAACGAGGAAUUCCCAGUAAGCGCGAGUCAUCAGCUCGUGUUGAUUACGUCCCUGCCCUUUGUGCACACCGCCCGUCGCAACAUCCGAUGGAAUGAUUUAGUGAGGUCCUCGGACUGGCGCUCGGAUUGACCUCCGGGUCGAGCCGGCGUGCCGGAAAGAUGAUCGAACUUGGUCAUUUAGAGGAAGUAAAGUCUCGUAAACAAGAAUCCGUCUGGUCUCAACU